rnacentral:rRNA from 1 species
CCUACGGGGGCAGCAGUGGGGAAUAUUGGACAAUGGGCGAAAGCCUGAUCCAGCCAUGCCGCGUGUGUGAAGAAGGCCUUCGGGUUGUAAAGCACUUUCAGUGGGGAAGAAAGCCUUGGGGCUAAUACCCUCGAGGAAGGACAUCACCCACAGAAGAAGCACCGGCUAACUCCGUGCCAGCAGCCGCGGUAAUACGGAGGGUGCGAGCGUUAAUCGGAAUUACUGGGCGUAAAGCGCGCGUAGGCGGUCUGAUAAGCCGGUUGUGAAAGCCCCGGGCUCAACCUGGGAACGGCAUCCGGAACUGUCAGGCUAGAGUGCAGGAGAGGAAGGUAGAAUUCCCGGUGUAGCGGUGAAAUGCGUAGAGAUCGGGAGGAAUACCAGUGGCGAAGGCGGUCUUCUGGACUGACACUGACGCUGAGGUGCGAAAGCGUGGGUAGCAAACAGGAUUAGAUACCCGAGUAGUC